UACGGAGGGAGCUAGCGUUGUUCGGAAUUACUGGGCGUAAAGCGCGCGUAGGCGGUUACUCAAGUCAGAGGUGAAAGCCCGGGGCUCAACCCCCGGGAACUGCCUUUGAAACUAGGUGACUAGAAUUUUGGAGAGGUCAGUGGAAUUCCGAGUGUAGAGGUGAAAUUCGUAGAUAUUCGGAAGAACACCAGUGGCGAAGGCGACUGACUGGACAAGUAUUGACGCUGAGGUGCGAAAGCGUGGGGAGCAAACAGGG
rnacentral:rRNA from 1 species